AUAUAUCAGCCGUAACGUCUGGCU
rnacentral:siRNA from 1 species